rnacentral:misc_RNA from 1 species
CUAGGGCACUUAAUAACUUCUAGGGUUUUUUCCGUUUUUAUACCAUUUUGCUUUUAGACCAAGGGAAUGCAUUUUUAAAAAAAAUUUAUUCAGCCUUAAUUGCUCUCAGGUAAAGUAGGUAAUGGUCUCAAGUAAUGUGCGUUACUCCCAAGUCCCAACUCCCAAAUAAUCCAGUUCGCAGUUCCGGAGUUCCCUUGGGAAAACAAAAUUUUUUUGGCCAUCUUCGUCAAUCGGUCAAUGACAACGACUACGGUGGAAUCCGGUGUUAUUUACUAUAUUUUACGAUUUUUCAGGGUUUUCUAAAUUUAAAAUAUUGUUUUUUUUCUGGACUGUUUAUGAAUGAUCAGAGUCAGAAAACUAGGUUCUAUGACUGGAAUGAUGAAAUUUGUAAAUCUAAGUUUUUUGGGCUUUGAUCUUUGCAACGUUGCAGUCAUCCCCAUCCUUUCAAAAUGGAAGUAGUGCCCUCUAAACACCGCGUUUAUUGAGAACGAGAGACGCAAGCAUGCAAGCCUCGUGUUUCGUGGUUUAUUUGCGGUUGCAAAAUGAAGUGAAGGAACAAAACUGCCAUGCUUCUCAUUUUUGCUCGUGCACAGGCUCUGUUCUAUGUUUGCGAAAAUUCCAAGUUUCACUUAAGGGAAAAUGAGCUUCAAAAGAACCCAACCAGUGCACCAUUGACGACAGCCAUCUGGAGCAUGAGGAUAUCUUCUUCUGGAUACUUCUCAAAAUCAUUUGCUCUUCAAAUUAAAAAAAUCUGAUGAGAUUUAUCAGGUUUCUGGUAACAAAGUCAAGUUUCUGCUCCCAUUGUGUGGCAGUGCAUAACAUAGAUUUUUCUGUGCAAGCGAACUGUGAUCCUCAAGUCCAAAUUCAGGAAACUUGGUCUUCGCCAAUAUGCGACUAUUAGCUUGCAUGACGUCUCCCCUCUAUUUUCACCUCUUCGCUUCCUGAUUUGCUCGGAAAACACACGGAAAAUGUCCUUGGCAAUUACAAAUAAGGACUGGGGCAAUGCCGAAAAACAAAUUAUGAUGGCCUACUGCCACCGGGAUCUUCGCACCACAAUUAGGAAGACGCGCAUUCUAGUUUACACUUCGAAAAUUGCGAUGCUGAUUGGACUGCUUGUCGGAAUGGGUUUCGUUAUCUUUCGUUUUCCUGAUGCUCCAUAUCUCUUGUCGCAUUUUAAAGUACUUCGUGAUCUUGCACCGGUCCCUGUUUUUGCUUCGAUUCAUCUCAUCACAAUUACUUUUGCCGUCACUUUUGCAUCUUUUUGCGACGCUGUGUCGGCGUUGGUCUUUUUCCAUAUCGCGUUAGAAGCGCGAGUCCUUUUCAAAGAAUUCGACAAAAUUUUUUUGCUUUUAAAUCCUUUGAUUACCGACUCCAACCAAACAGAGAGACUUGAAUUUAAAUCAGGUUUAUUAUUUUCUACUGAAUUGCGUCGAUUGGUGGGCUACUACGAAAAUCUGAGAAGUUUUGUCAAACGAGCGAAUUCUCUGUUCGGCAUCUUGUGGUUUCUAAAUCACGGUAUGAGAUUGACCAUCAUUUGUAUCAUGCUCUAUUCUGUCCUGUACAUGUUUCAAACUAAUCCUGAAGACGCCGGAAUUUACUUUGCUAACUUAGUAACUAAUCUGUACGAGCUUGUGCUUUGCACUGUGCUAAUGGCUCAAAUUUUUCGAGCCUCUGAUCGUCUACGCUCGAGGCUCGCCGUCCUAUUGACUAAGAACUGGGACUUGAUUACGAAAGGCGAUCGAGAAAUUCUGACCGUUUUUAUUGAUCGGCUUCAAACUGACCCUUUGGCUGCUUCUCCUUUGGGUCUUUAUAAAGUCACCCCUUCAUUUUUGAUGACUAUCGUGAGUCUGACUGUGAGUUACGUCAUUAUUUUACUCCAAUCCAAGUAGAAAACAUGAUCUGCAUUUUGCCAUUGUCUUUGUACUUGAAGCUACAAAUUACUCGAUUCAAUGACGACAUUGGCGAAGUGAAAAUUUUGUUCUCCGUUCAUAUCUAGUUCUCCAUACGCUUUGAACCAACAACUGUUUGCAUCGAAUAAGUAAAAUUAAGGGCCGUGUAACGUGAAAAGAGUAUGCAGUUAUGAAUUUUCCCUUGAUUUGUUUUUCACCGAUAAAGAAUGUGUUUUUAUUUAUUAUUGGUUUUUUAAUGUAGAACUCGUGUAGUCUCACCCGCUGCUGUUUUUUUUUCUCCAAUGAUGCAUCAUCUUUUUUAGUUAAAAAUUUUGGUUAAUUCUAAAGAGCUUCAUCAUUGUCUAUUAUUGCCAGAAAGACGGUCAUCUUGUCAUUGCGACGCAUCAGUCGCGUUAAUAGUCUUUAGAAAGCUGUUCUUUAUAUUGUAGCUCCUCCAUGUCUGUUUGUCCUUACGCAGUUCAAAACCACAGGCUUCAACAGUAAAUGUCCUAAUGAGCAGCAAAAACUUGUAACAAAGUGUCGGUUCUUAUAACGUGCAUUGGUUGGUCAUCUCCAAACCGAACUAUGCUGUAAUACAAUGCGCUAGGAAUACCACCAAACGAGGAAAGCUCUACGUUUUCGUUUGCUGUAUUUUUCAGCUAAUGCACAUGUUCUUCCAAAAAUGGAACUAAUCUCGGUCCAAGGCAUUCAAUGAAUGUGAAUUUUCUUUGUAUUCGUGUUGUUUUAAAAUGUGGCGUUUGUUUCACUUCGAAAAACGCUUACGUUAACUGGUAACUCCAGUUUCUGUUUAAAUGUCCAAUGCUUUGCUUUUCGGUACAUUCAGGCAUACCACCCGGUCUCAUUGAAGAUGUAAUAAUGUCGGAUCACAAGGUUAAGUAUAUGCAGAAUCUUAAAUUUUUUAUGCCAAGAAAGAUAAUAUGCGAAAGUUAGUGCUAUUCAUCCAUCCCUUGCAGAUUUUUAUCCUCUCACUACAAAAUACCUCAUAUCUAAUUAUUUGUAUUUAUCGCAUCAGAACAAGUUCAAUGACGAGACGUUUUGGCUUGAGCUUCUGGAGACAACUCAGGAAACUAAAUUCGCCUUGUUGCCCAUAACGAAUUCUAGGUCGUCUCCCCAAGUUGAGAUCAGAUAUUGCCGAUUGGAAACAAAGCAUUACUCGACACAGAGUUUAUCUUCGUCAUCCGUGUUGCAGCGCUUCAUUUGUUCCAUACAACAGGAGUUCAAUUUCCGAGUAACUACCGCGUUGUUACAUGCAAUUAGUAAGGUCAAUUUAAAAUUUUCCCCUUGAAACACAACCUUUUUUUAUUCGAAUCGUCUUGGACAAGUAUCAAACACAGCUAAGAUGUGUCACUAAUAUGGUGCAUUUUGGAGGUCCAAAAUUGUGUUGGAAUUUUAUGUAUCACUGAUUCCUCCGUUCUGAAUGAAAGACACCUUAUCCCCGUCGAUUAGUUGCGUUUAAUGUAUUACCAUUGAUUGCCAUUUCAGCAUCAAUUACCAAGUUGAAAAAUGUUCAAUACAGGUUGAACCAUUGUUGGAUUCCAAAGCCAUCUUGCAUAACACAAUUUUCCCCUCAGUUCUAUGCAUCUCUUUUCGUAUGCUGGCAGAAUAAUGAAAACACUUUCUUAUUUA